CAUCUGCCUGCGUUCACAACUUAAUCGCAGGCGUGCGCGCCGGCCGAGUGUACGUUGUGUGUCGCUCCGCGCUAAAAAUCGAUAACAAUCCAAAUAUCAAGACAUUCGUUAUCACAGUGAUACCAUUAAUUAAACCCACCUGGAACUUGCUGAAUGUUAAACGUGACGUAUACCGUGAUAUAUUUACAGUGAUAAUUUUGUGGGAGAUCGUAAAAGUUCACAAAAACUUUCCGAGCCACAAGCCAUGUGACUACGGCGAAAGCGGAUAAAUAAAAGUAAUGUGGUUGGCAGCGAUUCUGCUGUCGCUCGCGGUGCUAGCGGCGGCGACGCCGUGCGAGGAGGCGCGCAUGCGGUGCGCCUACCGCACCGGCUGCGGCGCCGCUCUCAACAACUACAUGAUGCUGUGCAGCGACGUGCUCUCGCAGCCCACCAGCGUGUGUCCUAAGGAGUGUGAACAUGCGCUCAUCGCGUUAACUUCUACGGAAGAGGGGAAGGAGUUGAUGAAUUGCCAAUGUGAGGAUGAAUACUGCGUGGAUGCAAAACAGAAGAUCAACGUCUGCCGUGCGCAGGUUUUGAGGGGUGCUGCGGACGCGACAGCCUCUUGUCGUCUAUCCCAACUCAUCUGCUUGGCCGAUGCCCAGUGCGCUACAGCUUUAGACUAUUAUAACCAAUUCUGCCGCUCCGUGUACCGUGGCAGAAAGUGCUCCAACAAAUGUCUCAACUCUAUAGAAAUAUUAAGAAAACAAGAGAAAGCUGCCGCGCUCACUGCCUGUCGUUGCGACGGCAACGAAGACUAUGACUGUCCGCGAAUGCAGAGCAACCUAGCGAGGCUAUGCUUUCACAAGCACUCCAAGAACCACACGAAGGCUCAUGAUAGAGGCUACGAAGAGAGACAUAGAAAGACCCAUCACGUCGUACAAUCUGCAGCACACAGUUUUGCUGUAUCGAUCGUUCUAAUUGCUCUAUGCCUCCUCUCCACAAAGUACAACACGUGACAUCGUAGCUGGGCUACCUCAUAUUAAUUAAGAUUCCUAGAUGUAGAUUCGAUGUAAAUAUGUACAGAGCAGUAUUGUUUAAGCGCAUAGUAUUUACAUUUGAAGUAUAGAUUAGUGACUGAGUGUGUUUGUGGUUAAUAUAGAUAUUCGAAUAAGACUUAUACGCUUUCGCCGCCCACGGGAGCGUGCGCGGGCGUCGCUAUAAAUACAGCGGCGCCGGUGGUCCGGUGACAAAUGCUAGGGUGUACUGUCCCCGACGCCGACACCACGCCGAUUGAUCUAACGGCCGUCCUAACUUGUCAAACGCAAGACUAUACCGCGACAAAAAUCUCGUCACUAUCGUUAAAAAUGCUAUAUAACAGAGUCAGGGAAGUCUCCAGCCGUAAUUCCGGUGACACUAAUCUGUCGCUGUCGACGCGACAAAUAUGCGGGAUGCGAUGCCGCCAUUUAUCCUUUUUUCAUAUCGCAUUUUCACAUCCUUUACGCUAUUCUUAAUUACGCUUCUCAUUAAAAAAUUCGUGUUCCUUUUGAUAGUCGCGUCGUUCUUUUCUGUGUCAGUAUAUAAAUAAAAACGAAAGAUUAUUUUGCUAUCGAACGUAAUAAAUAAAAUAGUGUGCUCUACAAUUGCUUACAAAUGAUGCUCGAGUUUCUUCAACUGUUUAUUGUCAAUUGAGACAUAAAUUACACUGUCAAGUGCGACCUAUGAAUCACAGAAUAAUUUGUUCCCACUACAUCAGUUAUUUAUUAUUUGUCAUUUGCAUUUAUAGUUUUGUCAUGUCUGACCCUUAUAUGCGCUUUGGACAUUAACUUCUUGUAGAGACUAUAAUUUUACCGUCCCAAAUUGAAAUUUCCAUGCAAGAAAAUUCUUCGAAGAGCUAUUGUACGAUGUGUAUGGUGUCUUCAUACUCGGGCCUUGUAAUGAAGAAGAUGGAACCGGUUUUCAGAGCAAGGUCUUACGUGUGAUGCUCCGUUUGUUGCCGCGUAAAUCGAUACUUAACACACGUGUAGUAAGUUUUGUUUAGUUGCCUAUUAGUGCAUAAGGUCAUUAGUACACCCCUGUUUCUCUAGCAAUUAUUUUAUAGAAUCGAUACAAAAAGAAAUCUCCGAUAGAAAUGAUGAACUUUAUAGGAACGUUCCAUAUUUAUUAAUAUUUACCGACGUAUAUUCUGAAAUCAAUAUUUGUAGUUUGUACUUUGUGUUCACGUUAUUGCUGAACUGAUAGUAUCUCAAUUUUUUUAUUAUUCACCUUUAUAAAAUUGCACGAACAUUUAAUAUUCUCGAGCAAUCCCUUAUCGAUUAUUCACAUGUGAAACGUAGAAUAUAAAAAAUGCGUCUUAUUCAUAGAAAGUUGUAUCAAGUAAAUUCUUAUGGCAGUUUUCUCGGCGGUUUUUAGUAUGCGCGUCAGGAUGAUUGCUUACUAAUGUUUCUUUCGAAGCACCAUGGUAUACAUAAUGCAGCGCACGAUAAUGCUAGGAAUAUGAAUGAACUGGCAUCUUCGCGAUGACAUUUAUUAGUUGAAACCAUGGUCUGUGCUCGCCCCGUUUUUGCCGCCAUGUGAUAAUGUCAUGCAACUACAAUUACCUAUGUGAAAGUUGAAUGUGUUGAGAAUUACUAUUUCGAUAAUGAUGUUCUUAUGAGUUGUAAUAAAUUUAUUUGUAAGAUAAGAAAUCUUAAAAUAUGUUUUUCACGUUUUAAUGUUCGGUUUGGAAAAAGGAAUGUAAAAGUUUGUCUCUAUUUAUUUGUAUGAAGUAACCCCUCUGAUUUAAAAUUCUGCAUUUUUUUGAUUCGUAGUUUAAAUG